GACGAACGCUGGCGGCGUGCUUAACACAUGCAAGUCGAACGGUGAACCAGAGCUUGCUCUGGGGAUCAGUGGCGAACGGGUGAGUAACACGUGGGCAACCUGCCCCAGACUCUGGGAUAACCCCGGGAAACCGGAGCUAAUAUCGGAUAUGACCACUUCGGACAUCCGAUGGUGGUGGAAAGUUUUUCGGUCUGGGAUGGGCCCGCGGCCUAUCAGCUAGUUGGUGGGGUAAUGGCCUACCAAGGCGACGACGGGUAGCCGGCCUGAGAGGGCGACCGGCCACACUGGAACUGAGACACGGUCCAGACUCCUACGGGAGGCAGCAGUGGGGAAUAUUGCACAAUGGGCGAAAGCCUGAUGCAGCGACGCCGCGUGAGGGACGACGGCCUCGGGUUGUAAACCGUCUUUCUAGUCAGGGACGAAGCGAAAGUGACUGUACCUGCAAAGAA
rnacentral:rRNA from 1 species